GUGGUACAUUUACACCAUGGAAUACUACUCAGCCAUAAAAAAGAAGGAAAUCUUACCCUUUGUGACAGCAUGGACAUUUGAGCAUAUUUAACUCAAGAAGACUGGGACUAUAGCUGUUGACCAACAUGGAAAGGAUUUAGCUAAAAAGCAGUUCCAUUAAAAAUUGUCCCAAUUGCUCAGUCACUUCCAUUUGGCAAGCCAGUGAUAAGCAUCCUUAUUUUUCUGAUUGGUUCAGUCGGGGUAAAGCAUCACACGAAAGAGGCCAAGGUCUAGCGUUUGAUUCCCCCUUGGAGUUAACCAGGUACAGGCCACCAAAGUCUAUCCAGCGUGAUAGAGGGGGUGCAGCACACAGGACACCCCGAGAGAACCAGGAUUCUUUUGAAGAACUUAAAGCUUUCAGUGGGUAAAGAGAAAGGGAGAG